rnacentral:lncRNA from 1 species
UUUUGUACAAGCAAAAUCACUUCAUUCUUUGCAGUCAGUUUUGUGAGGAUCAACUUGACAAUUAACUAUUUUAGAUCAGUGAGGAGACUCGAUUUCAUUUCAUAGGUAGUGUAAUCCUAAAACUUGCUGAGCAUACUAAACUGGAAUUUGUUCACCAAUGCAUUAUGGUCCACCAAGUCCCAAGACUCCUUUCAUGGAGCCAUAGGAUAUACUUGAAGAUGCAUUUAAAUGGUUAAAUCGGUUCUCUUAAUAUUGUAGAGAUGCCAUGCACUAUUGAUAUUUGAUUCACAAUUACAGCUCUUUAGUGGUUCUAUUUUCACUACCAGGACAAGCACUUUAGCCGACGAAAAAUUUUCAUCGGCCUGUUAGCUUAAUUCGUCGGCUAAGAUUUCGUCGGGAAAAGGUCGUCUGUGAUGACUUUAGCCGACGAAAAAAAAAAUUUCGUCGGCUAUAGUCCUGCAGUUUAGCCGACGAAAAACAUGUCGUCGGUUUUUUUCCCAGACUUUAGCCGACGAAACAAUUAAGAUAUUCGUCGGCUAAAGUCUGUAAUAAAAAUUUUUUUCCCAGACUAUAGCCGACGAAAUAUAGUAUGUUUCGUCGGCUAAACCUUAUAAAAAAAUUUUAAAAAAUAACCAUAGCCGACGAAAUAUGGUCUGUUUCGUCGGCUAAACCUUAUAAAAAAUUUAAAAAAUAACUAUAGCCGACGAAAUAUAGUCUGUUUCGUCGGCUAAACCUUAUAAAAAAAUUUUAAAAAUAACUAUAGCCGACGAAAUAUGCCAUAAUUCGUCGGCUAAACCUUAUAAAAAAAUUUAAAAAUACUAUAGCCGACGAAUAAAUCUUUAAAUAUCGUCGGCCAAACCUUUAAAUAUCGUCGGCUAAAGUUGCUGGUUUUUGAAAAGAAAAACUGCAGAAACUUUCGGCCACCUCCAAUUACCACCAAAAUUUGAUAGAAUCUUCUUCUCAACAUUUCGAACAACUUUCUAGAAGAAGUCGAAUCCCAAUUCUAAGCCUAAACAGGUCAAUUGAAUCAAAAUAUAAAAAUCCCCAAUUUUAAACCCUAAAAACUUCAAAUCUUCGAUUCUCCUCACACAAACCGAAUCGAGCUACCAAAUUCUAGGGGAAUGUAGUACUAAUCAAACUCAACUUAUCCAUAUAUAGAACUCACCAAAUGGUGACCUGAGGAAGGAGAAAUUCGAUCGACACCGAAUCCGAACCGGCGGAGUUUUGGAGCUCGAUUUAUCUCUCACGGCGGCGCCACUAGAUGCACCACCUAUCCAGCAAUGAAGUAGAGACGACGGCGAAGCUUUUGGGACAAGUGUGGCGGUCUCCGGUGACUUGACGGCGGUGCUAGGCUGAGAAGAAAAUCUGGCAGGCGAAAUAGACUUCUUACCAUCCACCUUCGGUAAUAUAAAGAACUUUAGCCGACAAAAUUCUUUAUUUUCGUCGGCUAAACUCUUUUGAAAAUUUUGAAAAUUUUGGUUGACCGCCAAAAAAUUUUGGUUGAAAAUUUUGAAAAUUUUUCGACUUUAGCCGACGACUUUUCAUAUAUUUUCGUCAGCUAAAGUCCUUUGAAAAUUUUCCUCCAAAUUUGGUUUACCGCCCAAAAAUUUUUGACCUUAACCGACGACUUUUUUAAUAUCUCGUUGGCUAAAGUCUAUAAAUUCACGAAAACGCUCAUAUCUCCCUCUAUAUUACGUAGUUUGGUCAAAUCUUCCACACGAAAAACUUUCACGUAGAUGAGACGCAACCGCCUAUAUAAAAAUUUUGAGACAUUUGCCUUUCGACGAUAGGGCUCCCCAUAGGGAAUAAUAACGGUAAAUAGGGUAGACACGUGAUUCCGAUGACUAAAAUUUACAAACCAAAAUUCGACCGUCCGAUAUGAUCAUUAUGACGAAAGAUGUCUAUGGUAAAAAAUUCAACUGGAUUCGACAACGUUAAGGGCUCGAUCGAAACGGUCAACUCUAAUCGGAAAUAAGAAAACUGCAUUUUGAAGCCCUAAACGGACUCGGAUGGCCAAAAAGGCCCAUACAUCAUGGCAUUAGCCAUGAGUUUGACUCGUAGGGCCGUUACGCUUUCGGAAAGGUAUCACAAUAGUCAAUUGGACACCAAAAACCAAAUCUGCAGCAUAGUAAAUAAUAAGGGUAAAUUGCAUUGACCGCAACUAUCGGCACCAAGACUUUACCAGAAUACCGUGAUUUUUCAACUGUAGACGUAUUUCACCAUUCUGGUAAUAUCUUAUUUCACUACUUUUUUGCGUUUGAAGGUUCUACGUAUAGUUUUUUUUUCCCAGAUGAGUUGUUGUCCAGAUCUGCAAAUAUAAGGCACUUUAGCCGACGAAAUUAUAUUUUUCGUCGGCUAAACUUUUAAAAAUUUCGUCGGCUAAAGUUCACAGACUAUAGCCAACGAAAAAAAUUAUUCAGACGACGAAAUUUUAAUUUCGUCGGCUAAAGUUGACC